rnacentral:lncRNA from 1 species
CAGCAUGCGGGCGUGGCCGGCAGCGCAGACCCGAUGGAGGUGCUUCUGCUAGCACUGCUGGCAGGCAACCGCAUCACGCGCACCUACACUGACUCUGGGCAGCCCAUGCCCGAAAAGCGUGACUCCGCGCAGCUGCUGGCCUACCGCUAUGCCUCCCCUGCCGAGGGCCCCAAGUCCGGCCACAGCGAGGUCCAUUUCCUGCACAGGUGCGGGCACCCUUCUCCCCUCGCAAAGCUCACAGGGAGGCAUGCACACAUGCAUUUCCCUCUGCACAGGUGCUUGCACCCUUCUCUGUAAUGCAUGGCUUUGCUCUGGUGGAUGCAUGGACAUGCAGUGUCACUGCAGAGGUGCCUCCACCCUCUAUGUUUUGCUCUGGCGCCACUCUGCUGGGAGCAGAUUUCCUGUGGUUCCAUUGUUUCUUGGCAUGUCAUUCCUGCCAAAUCAUCGGCGCAUAACUAGAUCCACGAAUGAUCUGCAGGCUGCUGCUCUGCUCUGCUCGGCUGCUAGCGUAUCUGCAGGUUGCACACUCUGAUAAAUUUAUGCUAGGAAGCAAGAAAAGGAGAGAAGAGAACAUCUGCUGUCUUAUGGUCGCAGGCGGCGGCUGCGCAAGCGGGCGGGCUUUGGCGGGUCAGAGGCCUCGAGCGUGUUUGCAGCGCCGCUGGUGCUGUUCCUGCCCGAGGAUGACAUCCAGGCUCUGCGCGAGCAGACGGUAAAGGAGAACCUGGAGUGGAACCAGAAGGAGUACACUGUGGAGCGGCC